rnacentral:rRNA from 1 species
CCUACGGGGGGCAGCAGUGAGGAAUAUUGGUCAAUGGGCGCAAGCCUGAACCAGCCAAGUAGCGUGAAGGAUGACGGCCCUACGGGUUGUAAACUUCUUUUAUAAGGGAAUAAAGCGAGGCACGUGUGCCUUUUUGUAUGUACUUUAUGAAUAAGGACCGGCUAAUUCCGUGCCAGCAGCCGCGGUAAUACGGAGGAUCCGAGCGUUAUCCGGAUUUAUUGGGUUUAAAGGGAGCGUAGAUGGGUUGUUAAGUUAGUUGUGAAAGUUUGCGGCUCAACCGUAACAUUGCAGUUGAAACUGGCAGCCUUGAGUACAGGUGAGGUAGGCGGAAUUCGUGGUGUAGCGGUGAAAUGCUUAGAUAUGACGAAGAACUCCGAUUGCGAAGGCAGCUUACUAAACUGCCACUGACAUUGAUGCUCGAAAGUGUGGGUAUCAAACAGGAUUAGAUACCCCGGUAGUC